GCUAAGCAUCAGGCUUUCAAAUGAAUUAAAAGUCUGUCUUGGUCUUUCGUUGAUAAAUAGGCUGGUGUGAAAAAUUGCUGCCACACCGCCCCCUCGGCCUGUGCUUCGAGGUUUCUGGUAGUUAGAAUGACUCGGGGGUGUUGAUUCAUUUAAACUAACAUAAUCAUCCUGCUGCAACCAGGUUUCUGUAAGGCAGAGUAAAUCGAUUUGUUGAUCAAUUAUUAAGUCAUGUACUAACAGAGACUUGGAGGAGAGAGACCUAAUAUUUAAUAAUCCACAUUUCACUGUUUUACUCUUUGGUUCAGAUGUGGAUACUGUAUUGUUCUUUCUUUGUGAUUUUUUAUGUUUAAGUUGUUUAUUGCUGGUUUUUAGUUUGUUUUUUGUCUGUUUGGGAGCUGACACAGUCUCAAUGGAGAUGGGCGUGUAAGACUGCAACUCUGCUUCCUGGUCCCAACUCUGGAUAGUCAUAUUUUGGGGGGUUUAAUAAAUUGGUCCAUAUUUCUAGAAAUGAGAGCUGCUCCAUCCAAAGUGGGAUGGAUGCCGUCUCUCCUAACAAGACCAGGUUUCCUCCAGAAGGUUUGCCAAUUAUCUAUGAAGCCCACAUCGUUUUUCGGAUUCUAAACUGACCGUAGGUGUGAAUGUGAGUGUGGAUGAUUGUCUUUCUAUGUUAACCCUGGACAGUUUAACUUGUACCCCUCACUUCAUGGUAGCGCAAUAAGUGGGAGAACACCUAUUCCGACACCCAUAUCUUAGAUUAAGCUAAUAGUAUUAGUGCGCUGUUAUCAAACGUUAUUCAAAACUUUACAUGGAAGAGAUAAGAGUGCGUGCGUAUAUGCUCACUUCUGACGAUGAUAAUAUGAUAAGGUGUUAUCUCAUCUGUACUUGAAAGUACUUCAAACACCACAUGCACAUGCAAUGUUAUCUGUGUGUCUAACGAUCUAUAAGUGAGCAAAGACAGUGUUAUAAAUAUUUUGAGUCAUUUCUAUGCCUUGAAAGUACUUACUCAGUACUUA
ensembl:lncRNA